rnacentral:rRNA from 1 species
AGUGAACGCUGGCGGUAGGCCUAACACAUGUAAGUCGAACGGCAGCACAGUAAGAGCUUGCUCUUACGGGUGACGAGUGGCGGACGGGUGAGGAAUACAUCGGAAUCUACUUUUUCGUGGGGGAUAACGUAGGGAAACUUACGCUAAUACCGCAUACGACCUACGGGUGAAAGCAGGGGAUCUUCGGACCUUGCGCGAUUGAAUGAGCCGAUGUCGGAUUAGCUAGUUGGCGGGGUAAAGGCCCACCAAGGCGACGAUCCGUAGCUGGUCUGAGAGGAUGAUCAGCCACACUGGAACUGAGAUACGGUCCAGACUCCUACGGGAGGCAGCAGUGGGGAAUAUUGGACAAUGGGCGCAAGCCUGAUCCAGCCAUACCGCGUGGGUGAAGAAGGCCUUCGGGUUGUAAAGCCCUUUUGUUGGGAAAGAAAAGCAGCAGGUUAAUACCCCGCUGUUCUGACGGUACCCAAAGAAUAAGCACCGGCUAACUUCGUG